AGUGAACGCUGGCGGUAUGCCUAACACAUGCAAGUCGAACGGAAGGACAGUAAGAGCGUGCUCUUACGGGUGGCGAGGGGCGGACGGGUGAGGAAUACAUCGGAAUCUACUUUGUCGGGGGGGAUAACGUAGGGAAGGUUACGAUAAUAGCGCAUACUAUCUACGGGAUGAAUCAAGGGAUCAUGAGACCUUUGGCGACACAAAUAGCUGGUGUCGGGCUGGCUUAGUUAGUUGGUAAGGUAACGGCUAACCAAGGAAACGAUGCAUAGCCGAUCUGAGGGGAUGAUCGGCCACACUGGAACUGAGACACGGUCCAGACUCCUACGGGAGGCAGCAGUGGGGAAUCUUCGACAAUGGGCGCAAGCCUGAUCCAGCCAUGCCGCGUGGGUGAAGAAGGCCUUCGGGUUGUAAAGCCCUUUUAUUGGGAAAGAAAAGCAGCGGAUGUAUCCCUCGCUAUUCUGACGGUACCUAAAGAAUAAGCCCCGGCUAACUUCGUG
rnacentral:rRNA from 1 species